rnacentral:piRNA from 1 species
UGUUAAGAACGCUGUGGGAUGUUG